CCUAUUAUGGGAUACACGUUUUUAAACAUCAUUUUGUGUGUAAGUGUGUAUUAGUACAUGCUAACGAUAUUCAAAAAGUACAUACCUCAAAGAAAACGAUGACGCGAGUUAUCGUCUCUAACGUUCGAGGACUACAAAAAACACUCGGAUUGUAGGCAACAGUUUACUUCCUGGGAUUAGUGACGUAGAUAAGACCAACAUUAUCAUAGUUCAGCCCUCUCUGCUUUGCUUGGGUACGCCCUCAAAGACGAGGGUGGGGAGCGCCGAGUCAGAAGAGAGCUAAAAUGGCGGAGGUUGGGAGUCCCUGCUUUGACUCUGUUUGCAAACUCUUGUUUCAUUGUUUAAGCGAUUAAAUCUCUCGAGUAGACGCUGUCUCUUUAGAUGCGAGGGAAAAAUAGCACUUUAUGGACUUACACAGAGGACAUCAUGUUUAAUACGGUUCCGGAAAAAUCCAGUCAGAAGUUGUUCACGGAGUUUUCACAAUAACUGCUUCUCAUGAACCGAAGCUGGACGUCUCCUUCUGAAAGUUGGAUUACUGUGCACUUCUGGAUCACAGGCUAUUCGCAGCUGGACACAUCCUUCUACACUGUAUGCAAACAUGCAACAUCAUAACACACAGUACAAGGAGUCAGACUGGCAUAUGAGGAGCAAAGGAACCCAGACAGUAGCAUCGUUUCACAAUGUUUCCAUCACCAUCAUCAGUGGAUGCCUUUGCCGUCCGUAGCCUGAGAUUUCAGAUUUGCAGCAAAAAAAAUUGAUUUUCUCAUUUAUUGGAAUGCUAUGCAGGUUGUACCUUGCAGCCAUCCAUUACAAUGUCACCAAGCCGUAACAAAAGCAGGAGAGGGAAAGUACAAGGCUAUGUUCCCAAAACACACAAAUGACAUACCUUAUGUGGAUGAUGUGAUCAGGCUUGUGUUUGCUGAGGUAUUUGAAGAUAAGCUGAAGGAAACCCCAAUUCCAAUGGACCUGGCAUCACAGUUUGAGAGACCUUCAAAGGAGGACGUGAUUGCAUGCCAUCUUCAG